rnacentral:rRNA from 1 species
GACGAACGCUGGCGGCGUGCUUAACACAUGCAAGUCGAACGGAAAGGCCCUGCUUUUGUGGGGUGCUUGAGUGGCGAACGGGUGAGUAACACGUGAGUAACCUGCCCUUGACUUUGUGAUAACUUCAGGAAACUGGGGCUAAUACCGGAUAGGAGCUCCUGCUGCAUGGUGGGGGUUGGAAAGUUUCGGCGGUUGGGGAUGGACUCGCGGCUUAUCAGCUUGUUGGUGGGGUAGUGGCUUACCAAGGCUUUGACGGGUAGCCGGCCUGAGAGGGUGACCGGCCACAUUGGGACUGAGAUACGGACCAGACUCCUACGGGAGGCAGCAGUGGGGAAUAUUGCACAAUGGGCGGAAGCCUGAUGCAGCAACGCCGCGUGCGGGAUGACGGCCUUCGGGUUGUAAACCGCUUUCGCCGGUGACGAAGCGUGAGUGACGGUAAUGAGUAAAGAAGCACCGGCUAACUACGUG